UACAGGGGGGUGCAAACGUUUGCUCGGAAUCAUUGGGCGUAAAGCGCACGUAGGCGGUUCGUUAUGUCGGAUGUGAAAGCCCUUGGCUUAACCGAGGAAGUGCAUCCGAAACUGGCGAGCUAGAGUACGAAAGAGGAUCGCGGAAUUCCCGGUGUAGAGGUGAAAUUCGUAGAUAUCGGGAGGAACACCGGUGGCGAAGGCGGCGAUCUGGGUCGAUACUGACGCUGAGGUGCGAAAGCGUGGGGAGCAAACAGG
rnacentral:rRNA from 1 species